rnacentral:siRNA from 1 species
UCCCAUAGGACACAUGCCCCACC